GACGAACGCUGGCGGCGUGCCUAAUACAUGCAAGUCGAGCGAACAGACGAGGAUCUUGCUCCUCUGACGUUAGCGGCGGACGGGUGAGUAACACGUGUAUAACCUACCUAUAAGACUGGGAUAACUUCGGGAAACGGGAGCAUAUCCGGUAGAAUCUCCUGAUCCACGGGGUGGAUUGGUAAAUGUCGGCUGUGGGGGAUCUAUUCGAGGCUUCUCAGCCUGUUGGGGUGGUAGUGGCGUAACAGGGCGUCGAUGGGUAGCCGGCCUGACGGGGUGAUAGGCCACACUGAAGCUGAGAGGCGGCCCAGACUCCGAGGGAAGGCAGCAGUAGGGAAUCUUCGGAAAUGGGCGAAAGACUGACGAAGCGACGCAGCGUGAGUGAUGAAGGUCUUCGGAUCGUAAAACGCUGUUAUUGGGGAAGAACGAAUGUGUAAGUAACGAUGCGCGUCUGGAGGGUACCGAAGCAGAAAGCCACGGCUACCUCCGU
rnacentral:rRNA from 1 species